rnacentral:rRNA from 1 species
UACGGAGGUGGCGAGCGUUGUUCGGAAUCACUGGGCGUAAAGGGCGCGUAGGCGGGCGGAGAAGUCGCGUGUGAAAGCCCCGGGCUCAACCCGGGAACGGCGCGCGAGACUCUCCGUCUUGAGUUCCGGAGAGGCGAGUGGAAUUCCUGGUGUAGCGGUGGAAUGCGCAGAUAUCAGGAGGAACACCGAUGGCGAAGGCAGCUCGCUGGGACGGUACUGACGCUGAGGCACGAAAGCGUGGGGAGCAAACAGG